UCGCUAUCGACCUAGACCUGGUCUCAAAUGGUGCUCGUUUACGUGAUGUUAGAGAGCCUAUUACAAGCGGAUCAAGACUUUGAAGAGACAGGCAUCUGACACGAAGUAGGAAAAUUGAUUUCUACAAACCUCGGCGCUCGUAAAAGUAACCAAAACUACCAGAACGUUUCGUAAUAAAUGUUCAAUUCUCGCAUCGUUCUCUAUGUUUAUGCAAACUAAAGUAUCAAUCGAUCGGAUAAAGUGAAUCCUACCACAACUACACGUAAUUACCACACAUAUAACUAAGUAUUAAACAUAACUGACGUUGGAGAAGAAACAUGAUUGGCAAGUGGCGAUCGCGGCAAUGAAAAUAAAAUUCAACGACUACUAAACCUAUCAAGAAGAUAUUUAUCAAAAUGAUGACUAACUAAGGCAGCCUGGUGAGGAUGUCACAGGCAACUCGGUAAUUGAUUUCGUCACUUUAUCGCAUAAGGAAUUACCGACUGCUUUGGAAUAACAAGCGAGCCACUCGUAAAUAACGUUAUCGACGUAACCUUGCCACGAAGACGUUCGCAAAUGAAAUCCAGCGAUCGGUUUCUUGACGUCACACGGAGUAAAUCUCGAUGGCACUGUUAGCUAGAAAUUACCAAGAGAACAGUGCUCGGUCGACCGCCUCAGAAAUGAUCGUUAACGAGUGCUGCAGAUGGUGACACGGAUUUGCUAUGGCCAGAUUGAAAGCAGCGACUAUGAUUCGUCGGGGUAUUGAAGUACUGUGUUCGUGUUCCUGAGACCGCGCGAACGAUGGUCGAAUCUUAAGUCGAUUUACAUAGAAAUUGAAGCGGAAAUAGACAAAAGCGUCGAGAAAUCGGGUUCGAUCACUUUCAACGGUUUUGAAGCCCGCGGACAGUAGACUGCCUUUCUAAAUCACGGAUUAUUAUCCAUCGGAUCGACCAUAUUCGUUUCCCGUAGUCUGUCUUUGCCUCAUUUCAGCGUAAUAUCAACGUCAUUCCGAAUGAAAGUCGUUUCCGUAAUUGGCACUCGCUGGAUUCUCUCGAUCGCAAAUCACUGACCUGCCGCGGUCACGGAACAUUCUUCUUACUUCAUCCGGAUCAGUUUCCAAUAGAUGAUUCGAAUCAGCGAUUUGGAAAAGAUAAUUUACUUGAAUGGCGCAUGCAGUAGCUGGUAGAAAUAUUUGCACGUUUAUUGUAAAAGCUUCUUGCGAAUGUACGUGCAUUUGGUUGUAUUAUUUGGGUGUCCUACGAAACGUCAGGAAUUUUGUUAACUUUGUUAAAUUGCAAUGAGACAGGACAGAAGUGGUUACAUUAAUUAUUUCAAUUAUUGCGAAUAAAUCGAGCAACAACGCGGAAUCUUUUCUCGAUGUAGUCCUCGAUCGAAUGAACUGCUAUCGUUCAAUAUCUGUUGUCUCGCGAUAUCGAAUCGCUGCGAGGAACGAGAAUUAUAUUUGUGCUGAAUGUUCAGCUAAUUUCGAGCUUCAUUUCAAUUGGGAAGAUUGAAGACCAUCCAAGGCGCGUUACGUACAAAAAACGACAGUUUUAUAUAUGUUAAGAAAACUGUCUUUCAAUUUGGUUUUUGGAAGUAAAUAAGUGUCCUUUCAUCCCCUUCUAGAUUUAAAAAAUAGUGCUCGUCUUAGUAUCAAAAUAUUGCUUGUCUUUGCCUUGCACAAAGCUCCACCAAGCUAUUUUAAAAUGUCAUUAUCAGCUGUUUUUAAAAUAUCAGCAAGCUGUUUUCGUAUUCGAUUAAUAUUUGAGAAAAAGUUAUCAGAGUUUCAUAGAAUACAUCGACGGUUUUCAUAUUAUUUAUAAUAUUUUUACAGGAAAUAGUUAGAUUCCAGGAAUCGCAAUGGAUUGACUGGCGGUUUGGUAACUUCGAGUUCAUAACAGAAUUUCUAAAACACAUCGUUACGAUUGUAUCGCGAAUAGGCUAACGUCGUAACUGCAACAUAGUCUGCUGUAUUCAAAAACAUCUUGCAAAUCGUCAAUGCUCUCGUCAGUCUUCGCUACAUCGAACGAAGCGCCGUAGCUCCGUGAAAUGUUGAAGUUUCAUCGGAAUCGAGAAGAGACCGAUAGUACUUGUUAAUUAGAUAUUCAUGUAAUUAGUGGCUUUGAAAUUUUCUAACGAGACAGUUUCCACAGUUUCCCUCUGCCCACUCGUUGCCAGUGGAACCACGCACGAUUCUGAUAGAAUUGUGUGUUAAAUUAACGACAAUAAACUUCGUAAAUCCAAUUGCAGAAUUUCUUGGACCAGACUUCCCACUACUUAGAGACCUACUUGCGAUGUUAAAUCUGCACCUGCUUUAUCGUUCUAUAACUUACACUUCAUCUGCCUCUUUUGUGUCUUUUGAUU